CCUGGCGAAAGCAGCGGGGGAACCGACCUGGCAACCGCGGGCAGAUCCGAAGGAAGUGAUACCGAUCUGUAGGAGAAGUUCAAAUAUUUAACAAUGUCAUAGGUACAUACAUUAUAUUAUUGUUGAUAAAAAGGUUUGUAUUCCAAAGUAACGUACCAAGAGGGGCCUGCCGCUUCUGGUUACAACCAGAGGACCACCGGAGUCACCCUGGCAUGUACUCCUGCCACCAGCGCCGCUGGUACAGAUGUUGGAGUCCUGGAUGAUCAGAGGGAAAGAAGAUCUGCAGACUGCGUUGGUGAUCACGGGCAGAGUGACGUGGCUCAAGAAC